UUUUUCUCUAAAAAAUAAACGAAUAAUUUUUUUUAAUAAACAAUAGUAGCAAGCAGUGGUUAAAAUCUGAACAAAAUCAAAGAGCCUGGUAAACCCUAAAACCCUAACAAAGGGGCGAAAAUGGCACUUUCAAUUUGUUUCAAUUCCCUGGCAAGAUUUCGCCUUUGCACUCUCUCUCAGCAGAAUGGAAGAAGACAUGCGGUUACUUUUAUUGGAAGGAAUGAUCACACUCUUUCUUCCGUAGUUUCAGAUUUUGAACCUGAUGAACUCCAUGAUGAGGGUGAAGCGAAACAGAAAGAUCAUGCGCUUCGUUUGGCUCUCACGCAGCUUGCUGGUGAAUUUGGUAGAGAGUCUAUGCUGUCAUUGCAGCGGUUUUUCAGCUCACGAAGAGCUUCUAUUAUAUCAACAGGCUCGUUGAAGCUUGAUCUUGCACUUGGAAUUGGUGGAUUACCGAAGGGAAGAAUGGUUGAAAUCUAUGGGCAAGAAGCUUCUGGCAAGACAACUAUUGCACUUCACAUUAUCAAGGAAGCUCAAAAGCUUGGAGGAUAUUGUGCAUUUCUUGAUGUAGAGAAUGCAAUGGAUCAUUCACUUGCUAAAUCAAUGGGCGUAAACACACAAAAUCUUCUUAUUUCACGUCCAGAUUGUGCUGAAAAUUUGCUCAGUGUAGUCAACACUCUGACUAAAAGCGGGUCUGUAGAUGUGAUCGUGGUUGAUAGUGUUGCUGCCCUUGUUCCUCAACGUGAGAUUGAUACUGUGGUGGGAGGCUCCUUUGAAGAUAUACAAUCACGAUUAAUGACCCAAGCACUUAGGAAGAUCAAUUAUUCAUUGUGCCAAUCUCGAACUCUUAUUAUUUUUCUUAAUCAGGUUAGAACAAGUUUAAAAUCAGGACGUGCAGAAGAGGUCACCUGUGGUGGAAAUGCCUUGAAAUUCUAUUCGGCAGUACGUUUGAGAAUGAUCAGAACAGGACUGCUCAAGACUGGGGACAAGGUUACUGGUCUUGGGGUGUGUGCACAAGUCGUGAAAAAUAAAUUGGCUCCUGCCAUGACAAAAGCUGAAAUUGGGAUACAGUUUGGGAGAGGCUUUUGCUUUGAAUCUGAAGUCUUGGAAUUAGCUUGUGAGCAGAGUCUCAUCAAGAAGGAAGGAAGCAGCUAUGUCAUUGGCAGAGAGGUAUUUAGCAGUGAACAUGCAGCAGAACAGUAUUUAAUUGAAAAUGAAGGGGUUCUUGAUCAAAUAGUUGCAAAAUUAAGAGGAGAAUUACUUCAAAGGAAGAUGUGACCGUGGUAGACCCUUGAGAAAAUGAAUUGCUUAAAGGAUGCAGCUAAAAUCAAAACAUAAGCGGUUCCAAAUUGGUUACUAUCCCAAGAAUUUCAAUCAUCAGUGGCACUGGAGCUUUAUUUGUGAGACAACUGUGCAUUCACAGAAGCAAUAGUAUUGGGUGAUCUUUGCUGGUCGGGCAGAUGAGAUGGUCAACGAUAGAAACCAUUUCUCCGAUAAGAGGCUGACAAGUUAUUCUUGGAAGAUUAUCCAUAAGAGGUCAAGGAGAGAUGGAAAACCAGAGACAGAGAGAGUAAUAAUUGACUCUAAUUUAGAUCAAAAGAACCAGCGCCGGUUGCAAGAUGCAUUGCCUCUAGAGACCCCGUCUGAUCCGGAUUCUGCCAAGGUGGAGUCUGGUGGUGUGAGCAAAGAAACAGACAAGAAACCAAAUGAACAUGGCGAAGGAAGCAAGCAUUCUUCUAAGCCAACUGAAGUACCUUGGUCACGGUCUUUUUUUCAAGUUUUUUUUUUUGAAGUAAUUGUUGAUAUGUGGUUUUGUGGAAUUUGUUCUGGUGUCUCAUUGUCAUUAUCUAAUGGAUGUGAAAUCUAGCGUGGUUGAGACAUUUAAGUUCAGAAGCUAAGGUAUGCUUGGGUGUUUAUGGAAAUAGAAAAUUUGAGUUUGUAGCCA